CCGAAGGACUUUGUAUUACCUAUGAAUCCUCCUCUGGGCUCUCUCAAAUAUGUUUAAAACAAUAUUGAAACCUCUAAGAGAUUGAUUUUGCGCUCAAUGAUCCAUAGAUUGUAAUUGUACUCCAAGAUACAAGGCAAAGAGCACUCUAGGGUGUUUCCAUGCUUCAAACCCUCAAAAUGCUCAAAUGUAUUGACCUAGUUGAUACGUUUAUAUACUACUUUUGUGCGAGCAGAAGUUGAUUGAGCCACUCGUCGAGCAACUUGAUUCCAGUACAAUUGGCUGGACAAUGAGCCAAAAAGUUGCUCGAGCCACUUUGGAAAAUCAAAAUGAUAUUGGCUUGAUACUUCUUGAUGCCCCAGAACCUGAUGUAACUAUGCUAUCGCACUUAGACACUCAAUACGUAUUCGAAAUGAUUCCUUUCCACAUAAUCCAUAUACAAACUCUCUAAAAAGAUAUGUAAAAUAAAAUAUACUACUGUAACUCAAUAACGAGAUACAGGAAAAUGUGUGUUCUGUGAAUGAAAUUGCCAACACAAAGGAGCUCGGUUUUUUGGAGCUUACAUAUUAAAACUUAUUACAGAUGAUGAAAAAGAAUAAUACAAGACUAGGGACAAUAUUGGAGAGUUUACAACACUACAACAACCUCAUCUUUAUCAUUUUUGGUCUUACCCUCUCAAAACCCUGAUUUUAUUUUUUUUGGUGGGGCGGGGGUGAGGAAGGUUGAAUACCUAUAGUAUUUUCUAUUUUGCCCCUUCCCUCAGCUAUUUGCUGUAUCUGAAGAUGUAUAAUGCUAAAUACAAUUUUUGUGGAAGAUUAUCCAUUUCCUAAAACCAAACCAUGCAGUAAGAAGAUCUUAUAUCUAACUGUUUCGGUUGAUGAAGUGAUAAGGGCUUAUGCUGAGGAAAUCCGACUUUUAUCUUUCUAUUCCCGGUCUUGAAAAAGAAUCCUGCCGAGUUAAAGCAUAGUUCCCAUCCAGAGGUUGUUGAGUCUCACCAUCCAGAGUAAUUGCUUUCGAACAGAGGAAGAGGAAAGAGGAAGUGUAUAUGCUGACAUGCCACAGGCUG